rnacentral:rRNA from 1 species
UACGGAAGGCAGCGGUGGGGAAUAUUGCACAAUGGGCGAAAGCCUGAUGCAGCUAUGCCGCGUGUAUGAAGAAGGCCUUAGGGUUGUAAAGUACUUUCAUCGGGGAGGAAAAAACAAAACUAAUAAUUUUAUUUCUUGACGUUACCCGAAAAAGAAGCACCGGCUAACUCCGUGCCAGCAGCCGCGGUAAUACGGAGGGUGCUAGCGUUAAUCAGAAUUACUGGGCGUAAAGAGCACGUAGGUGGUUUUUUUAAAGUCAGAUGUGAAAUCCCUGGGCUUUAACCUAGGAACUGCAUUUUGAAACUGAAAUACUAGAGUAUCGUAGAGGGAGGUAGAAUUCUAGGUGUAGCGGUGAAAUGCGUAGAUAUCUGGAGGAAUACCUGUGGCGAAAGCGGCCUCCUAAACGAAUACUGACACUGAGGGUGCGAAAGCGUGGGGAGCAAACAGGGAUUAGAUACC